UGCUUCCGCCGGGGCGCCGAACGAAAUGUUUCCCUUUUCUUUUUAGAAUUUUCUUUCUUUCUUUAUACUCAUAGCGCGCACCUGAAGGCUGUAGCCCACGCCGCACCUGUAACCGCCGGACGGUGCGCCGUUGUUCCCCCUGCCUAAAUCCUCCGCUCCGAGAUCGACGCCGGCCUCCACCGCCCGCCCAUCCGCUCCGGCGCCGUCCCGGUCCCCUGCCGCUCCUGCCCCGGCACCUCCUCUGUGCAGUGCAGCCCGCCGCGGCCAGAUGGAGGCGGCGGCCGGAAGGGACCUGGAGCUGGCCGGCCCGCUCCGCGACCUCCUCCCGCCGGUGGACUUCUGCUGCGCGUACGGCUCCACCCUCACCCACGCCCGCCCUGACGGCACCUCCAUGGUCGACUACAUCCUCGGCGUCGCCGACCCCCUCCACUGGCACUCCGAGAACAUGGCGAGGAACCCCACGCAUUACUCUAGCUGGAUGGCGCGCCGUGGCCCCGAAGCUGUCACUUGGCUGGCUGAUCGUGUCGGUGUCGGGGUGUACUUUAAUCCGUUUGUCGAGUGGGGAGACAAGAGGAUCAAGUAUGGUGUGGUAGGGAUGAAGGACCUGGUGAUGGAUGUCUUGACCUGGGACCAGUUCUACCUAAGUGGCCGACUGCAAAAACCUGUUCGUGUUCUUGUCGAUGACUGGGAUAUAAGGAAAGUUAACACAGUCAAUCUGAAAAUGGCAACUUCAGCUUCUCUGCUUCUUUUGCCAGAAGAAUUCACUGAGUAUGACCUAUACGCAAAAAUUUGCAGCUUAUCUUAUAUGGGUGACUUAAGGAUGUUAUUUGCAGAAGACAAAGAUAAGGUCAAGAAGAUUGUGGACGGUAGUUUCCAGCCAUUUCAAUUGAUGUACAGACCCCUGAUACGGGAGUAUAUUUCUGAAGGGAUACUGAAGAUGUCAGAUUACAGACAACAAAAGGCUUUCAAGCAGGAGGGAUAUUGUCAGGAGAUCCAGGCAUGGAAAACUUCAUGUGCGAUUUUUCUGAGCAACAGUCAGUGUGAACUUGGGGUUCCAAUUUUCAUCCAAGAACUUGCAGGCCUGCACCAAUUGGAAUAACACCUAGUCAGUUGUGCAAUUGGGGAAUGAGCACCAGAUUAAACUGGCUCCCGUUUAUGCCAUCCUUGUAAUGAAGAUGGAGAGAUCAACAUCGAAAAUAACAGUCACACAAGUGUCCUCGAGACAAGCAGUCAAUCAUUGUACACAACUGAAUGACCCUACUAUUUCUCUCCGACAUUGACGCUGAUAUCUGCAAGCAGUUAUUCAGAAAGGAUAAAAAACCUGAAGAAUAUGAUCUGAUCUGGUUUUCUUUUCCAGGACUGGUGUAGAAGUCAAUGAGACACUCCCUGAAGCAGUUCAGAAUAGCAACAGGAAAAUAAAACAUCAAGAGAACCAUUCUAGUAUAUUUGUAUGGAUGACUGAACAAAAACAAAAAUAUCUUACCAAACAAGGCCAUCAUCAUCAGCUCCUUUUGGCUUAAACAAUGAAUCUAUCAUUUGUAGUUUUGGUGACUGCGAGCGCAUGGAAGCACUAUAUUUCGGGACAAGCGGCCAUUCUCGAAAACCAAUGAACUAUAGUCACAAUGAAAACAAGCAAGCAAACGAACAUCACAUACAAUAGUUAAUGAUCUUCAGAAUUGUGCAGACAACUAGUUUUGAUAUCUUAGAUUUGGAAGUACUCCAAUGCAGAUAGAGGAAAUUUAGUAGCAUACUGCUGCAACGGAUGGUAUAUCAGACUGUCCAGGGGAUCCAUGGGACACGUAUAUUCCCAAGAUGAUAGUUGGCACCUUUGAUACAAGAGGUAUAUUUGGGGAAAUUUCAACUUGUAGCACCGAGUUCAUCCACCAAGCUGAUUAGAAAAAGGAUUAGUAGAAAGAAGACACACAUGUAAAUAAUGUUUCAAUAAGAAUUAGAUGUGGCGGAGUCACAAACCUCUGCAUUGAUCUUCAGCGGAACAUUUGUCAGAUAUUGGUCAUUGACCCUUGUUGGGGCCACACAUUGAGUGACGAUCCCGAAGUCAGCAAGGCAUUUCCGCUUCCAUGGACCUGUCGCAGAAAAAUAACCGGAUGAUACAGAUGAUUUUCCUAAGCUUAUAUUGAACAGAUACAAUAAGAACUUGUAGAACCAACCAUAAGUAUCAGAGUUCUUUGUCUCAGCAAGAACAGUAGAACACACAGCUGAAACCUUGGUGCUCCAGGAAGCUUUUUCUUCACUUGCUCAAACAUAUCAUCGACCCUUUGUUUUUGAGAAGGGGCGCGUCUCCUUUGACCAUUCUCUUCAAACACGUCUCCUUUGACCAUUCUCAAAUGCAUUUUGAGAGAUGUGUAGUUUGGCGAAAUGAAAAAUCUACAAUGCCCUUCAUGCCCUCACAGUUUUGGAGGUCGCAGACAAGUCUUUGACGUUACACUGAGCUGAAAAGUUAACCACUGCCCAUUUGUCCACAACGUAAGCUCUAACAAGCCUCUCGAGAAGCAGAACUAAGAAAGUUAUGGGUGCCAACAUGCAGAAUAAGUGAGUAAACACAGAAUGCAGUCAAAAUAUGCUGACCUUGUUGAAAUUCCAACACCCAUUCUUGUGAAAUAUCAUCACCAUUUCCAUCUUUGAGCUACAUUACAGGAUCCAAUCGAAAUGCGUAAGAGUUUCACAAGCACAAAUGAUGGCUGGAUAGAUAUGGAGCAGUCUGUUCUGACUGACCUUUGGGGUCUGCAGUAACCUACCAGCCACUUGUGUAAAGCCUUUGUUUCUGUAUCAUAGCUGCUGUGUUUCAGAUACAGCCUUUCGUGGUUCUGAAUCAAUGCCCUUGUUUCUAACCUUUCUUGAAUCAACGCCCUUGUUUCUAACCUUUCCUGAGGCUUAUCCCUUUGCUGCCUAUUUCUAUGAACCAGUGUGUGCAUGCAAAUGUGCUUAUGACUGUGGUGUAUCUGCAACGAACGAGCUGUUUUCUUCUCUCCCGUGUAUGAUCCAAAGGAGACUGCAAGGAAGAUUCACAUCAAA